GCGGAUAUGGCGGAACUGGCAGACGCGUUAGAUUCAGGUUCUAAUCGGGGCAACCCGGUGCAGGUUCAAGUCCUGUUAUCCGCACCA
rnacentral:tRNA from 1 species